rnacentral:tRNA from 1 species
ACCGAGGUGGUGAAAUUGGUAGACACGCUACCUUGAGGUGGUAGUGCCCAGCUGGGCUUACGGGUUCAAAUCCCGUCCUCGGUACCA